UACAGAGGUGGCAAGCGUUGUUCGGAAUUACUGGGCGUAAAGGGCGCGUAGGCGGCUUUUUAAGUCAGACGUGAAAUCCCCCGGCUUAACCUGGGAACUGCGUCUGAUACUGGGAAGCUUGAGUUCGGGAGAGGGAUGUAGAAUUCCAGGUGUAGCGGUGAAAUGCGUAGAUAUCAGGAGGAACACCGGUGGCGAAGGCGGAUCUCUGGGCCUGUUCUGACGCUGAGGCGCGAAAGCUAGGGGAGCGAACAGG
rnacentral:rRNA from 1 species